UACGAAGGUGGCAAGCGUUGUUCGGAUUUACUGGGCGUAAAGGGAGCGUAGGUGGUUAGGUAAGCCCUCCGGGAAAUCUUCAGGCUUAACCUGAAAAGGUCGGGGGGGACUGCCUAGCUAGAGGGCGGGAGAGGAGCGCGGAAUUCCCGGUGUAGCGGUGAAAUGCGUAGAGAUCCGGAGGAACCCCAGAGGCGAAGGCGGCGCCCUGGCUCGCAACUGACGCUCAGACACGACAGCAUGGGGAGCGAACGGG
rnacentral:rRNA from 1 species